rnacentral:rRNA from 1 species
AUUGAACGCUGGCGGUAUGCUUAACACAUGCAAGUCGAACGAUGAGAAAGAGCUUGCUCUUUCGAUUAGUGGCGGACGGGUGCGUAACGCGUAGGAAUCUACCUAUUAGUGGGGGACAACUUAGGGAAACUUAAGCUAAUACCGCAUACGACCUACGGGGGAAAGAAGGGGAUCGCAGGACCUUUUGCUAAUAGAUGAGCCUGCGUAGGAUUAGCUAGUUGGUGGGGUAAAAGCUCACCAAGGCGACGAUCCUUAACUGGUUUGAGAGAAUGAUCAGUCACACUGGAACUGAGACACGGUCCAGACUCCUACGGGAGGCAGCAGUGGGGAAUAUUGGACAAUGGGCGAAAGCCUGAUCCAGCAAUACCGCGUGUGUGAAGAAGGCCUUAGGGUUGUAAAGCACUUUCAAUUGGAAGGAAAACCUCGAAGCUAAUACCUUCGAGUUUGACAUUACCUUUAGAAGAAGCACCGGCUAACUCCGUGCCAGCAGCCGCGGUAACAC